GGCGCCCUCCCCGCCCCGCCCCGCCCGCCCCAGGCCCGAGCGAGGCGCCGCGGGAGGAAUUCCAGCCAUUUCCUCUGCGCCGCGCGCCAGAGUCCCAAGGCCAAGAACAGCCCUUGCAGCAAGAUGUGCGCCCCUCAUUCCUCACAAACGCUACAGCCACAGACCGCAUAAAUCCAGAUGAGGAAGCUGGUACCCAGCUGGCAGAAGAGAGGUUUGAACUCAGGGAUCUGACUCCACUGGUCAUGACUUGAACUUCUGCUGGGGGAUAAUCAAUUCUGAUGGCCUUUC